rnacentral:rRNA from 1 species
CACGUAGGGCGCGAGCGUUGUCCGGAAUUAUUGGGCGUAAAGAGCUCGUAGGCGGCCUGUUGCGUCCGCUGUGAAAGCCCGGGGCUUAACCCCGGGUCGGCAGUGGAUACGGGCAGGCUAGAGGUAGGUAGGGGAGAAUGGAAUUCCCGGUGUAGCGGUGAAAUGCGCAGAUAUCGGGAGGAACACCGGUGGCGGAGGCGGUUCUCUGGGCCUUACCUGACGCUGAGGAGCGAAAGCGUGGGGAGCGAACAGG